AUGAGGCUUUGGCUCCAUUUGCUUUUCACUGUAGCGGCUUUACAAGGUGUCCGGUCCCAGGUGCAGCUGGUGGAGUCCGGAGGGGAUGUGAAAAAGCCCGGAGACUCUCUCCGCCUCUCCUGCAAAGCCUCCGGCUUCACCUUCAGCGGCGCCUACAUGAACUGGGUCCGACAGGCUCCUGGCAAAGGACUAGAAUGGGUCGCUUUUAUAAGCGACGAUGGGGGUGAUAUACGCUACCUUGAUUCAGUGAAAGGCCGGUUCACCAUCUCGAGGGAUAAUCCCAAGAGUGAGCUGUAUCUGCAAAUGACCGGCCUGAAGCCCGAGGACACCGCCCGCUAUUACUGUGCGAGAGACACAGUGACACGAAACCGGUUUGUGAUCAUACAAUAA